rnacentral:misc_RNA from 1 species
UACAGAGGGUGCAAGCGUUAAUCGGAAUUACUGGGCGUAAAGGGCGCGUAGGCGGAUAGUCAAGCUAGCUGUGAAAGACCUGGGCUUAACCUGGGGGUGUCAGCUAUGACUGGUUAUCUAGAGUAGAGGAGAGGGGAGUGGAAUUCACAGUGUAGCGGUGAAAUGCGUAGAUAUUGUGAGGAACAUCGAUGGCGAAGGCAGCUCUCUGGCCUUAUACUGACGCUGAGGCGCGAAAGCGUGGGUAGCGAACAGG